UUUACCAUUUUAAGUAUUGUUCAGUCGCUACCACCGUUAAUCUCCAAAACUUUUUCAUUUUCCCAAAAGGAAACUCUGUAUUCAUUAAACAGUAACUCUCCAUUCCCGUCUUCCCUUAGCUCCUGGCAACUACCAUUCUAUCCCUAUAAAUUGGACUACUCUACCUCAUGCUGCACGCCCAGUGUGGAGCUUUAACUCACAACCCUGAGGUCAAGAGUUGGAUGCUCUACUGACUGAGUCAAACAGCCACCCCUGUUAUUCUUUUUCAAGGUUCCGUGGGAUUGUCCACAUAGACAAUUUUUUAUGUGGGUCUCCAAUUAUAUAAUCCAGGCAAAAUAAUAUAUAGAUAAAGCAAAUAUGGCAAAUGACAACAGCUGUGGAAUCUUGAGUGUGGUGAGUAUGUGGAAAUUCAUUGCGGUAUUUCAACUUCUCUGUAUGUUUGAAAGUUUUUCAGAAGUUUGUGGGGAGGGAAAGUGAGUGUCCCACAUACCUGUCUGCCUUGUUACAUUCCCCUUCUGGAAGGU